rnacentral:rRNA from 1 species
AGCGAACGCUGGCGGCAGGCCUAACACAUGCAAGUCGAACGAACUCUUCGGAGUUAGUGGCGGACGGGUGAGUAACACGUGGGAACGUGCCUUUAGGUUCGGAAUAACUCAGGGAAACUUGUGCUAAUACCGAAUGUGCCCUUCGGGGGAAAGAUUUAUCGCCUUUAGAGCGGCCCGCGUCUGAUUAGCUUGUUGGUGGGGUAAUGGCCCACCAAGGCGACGAUCAGUAGCUGGUCUGCGAGGAGGACCAGCCACAUUGGGACUGGGACACGGACCAAACUCCUGCGGGAGGCAGCAGUGGGGAAUCUUGCGCAAUGGGCGGAAGCCUGACGCAGCCAUGCCGAGUGGAUGAUGAAGGUCUUAGGAUUGUCAAAUCCUUUCACCGGUGAAGAUAAUGACUGUAGCCGGAGAAGAAGCCCCGGCUAACUUCGUGCCAGCCGCCGCAGUAA